AUAAUAACUGUGCAGAUGUAGACUUGGCCUCAAACUGCAUGAUUUUCACAACUGAAACCAAAAUAAAUUUAGUUAAAACGUAAUUUAAGCUGAAUGGAUUUAAUUGUUUCCACUGGUGUGCUUACUGAUGGAAGCAGUGUACAAUAGCCAAGAGCAACACAAUGUGAACCUGUCACAAAAGACCCCACAACAACAUCCAAAGAACUGCAGGCCUCACUUGCCUCAGUUAAGGUCAGUGUUCAUGACUCCACCAUAAGAAA